UACGAAGGGGGCUAGCGUUGCUCGGAAUCACUGGGCGUAAAGCGCACGUAGGCGGAUCUUUAAGUCAGAGGUGAAAUCCCAAGGCUCAACCUUGGAACUGCCUUUGAUACUGGGGAUCUCGAGUCCGGAAGAGGUGAGUGGAACUGCGAGUGUAGAGGUGAAAUUCGUAGAUAUUCGCACGAACACCAGUGGCGAAGGCGGCUCACUGGUCCGGUACUGACGCUGAGGUGCGAAAGCGUGGGGAGCAAACAGG
rnacentral:rRNA from 1 species